UGAAAAUACUGGUUCUCAUAUGAUCACUGAAGUUAAGCAAUGUCAGGUCUAGUCAGUACCUAGAUAAGUGACCACUUGGGAUUACCCAGUGUUGUAA